UUCUCUCUUUAGAGUUUAACCCUGUGACCAUACUCCCCCCUGAAGUCCAUAAACUCGAGAUUUCUUCUUUAAAUUUUUGAACAAGGUAGUGUGUGAAACCCCAAAGGUUUCACAACUACCUUGUUCAGAACUUAAAGAGAAAUCUCGAGUUUAUGGACUUCAGGGGGAGUAUGGUCACAAGGCUGAAACUUAAAGGAAUUGACGGAAGGGCACACCAGGAGUGGAGCCUGCGGCUUAAUUUGACUCAACACGGGAAAACUUACCAAGACCGAACAGUAGAAGGAAUGACAGAUUAAGAGUUCUUUCAUGAUUUAUUGGGUAGUGGUGCAUGGCCGUUCUUAGUUGGUGGAGUGAUUUGUCAGGUUAAUUCCGGUAACGAACGAGACUGAAACCUAUUAAUUAGUUUCCUGCCUAUACGACAGGAAUCUCCGCAAGGUCAGGUGCCUCGGUACCACUUCUUAAAGGGACACAUUUCAAUUGUCUCAUUUUAAUCGAUGUCUCUGGCUCCGGUCAGAACUCUUUUAACGUGAGAAAAAGAAAAAGGAAGCAUUCAGCAAUAACAGGUCUGUGAUGCCCUUAGACAUCUUGGGCCGCACGCGCGCUACAAUGGAGUUACUAGAGAGUAUUUUAUCAUCCAAGCUUUAAUAUUGUGACAACUACCUUGUUCAGAACUUAAAGAGAAAUCUCGAGUUUAUGGACUUCAGGGGGAGUAUGGUCACAAGGCUGAAACUUAAAGGAAUUGACGGAAGGGCACACCAGGAGUGGAGCCUGCGGCUUAAUUUGACUCACACGGGAAAACUUACAAG
rnacentral:rRNA from 1 species